rnacentral:rRNA from 1 species
UACGGAGGAUGCAAGCGUUAUCCGGAUUUAUUGGGUUUAAAGGGUGCGCAGGUGGUUAAAUAAGUCAGUGGUGAAAGUCUGCCGCUUAACGGUAGGAUUGCCAUUGAUACUGUUUAACUUGAGUUUGGAUGAGGUAGGCGGAAUGAGUAGUGUAGCGGUGAAAUGCAUAGAUAUUACUCAGAACACCGAUUGCGAAGGCAGCUUACUAAUCCACAACUGACACUGAGGCACGAAAGCGUGGGGAUCAAACAGGAUUAGAUA